UACGAAGGGGGCAAGCGUUGUUCGGAAUUACUGGGCGUAAAGGGCGCGUAGGCGGCCGAUCAAGUCAGGCGUGAAAUUCCCGGGCUCAACCUGGGGGCUGCGCUUGAUACUGAUUGGCUUGAAUGCGGGAGAGGAUAGUGGAAUUCCCAGUGUAGAGGUGAAAUUCGUAGAUAUUGGGAAGAACACCGGUGGCGAAGGCGGCUAUCUGGCCCGUAAUUGGCGCUGAGGCGCGAAAGCGUGGGGAGCAAACAGG
rnacentral:rRNA from 1 species